UACAUUUUAUAUUAAUAAACAUUAACUUCAGAUACCAGUCAGCAAUCGCAGGCAGUUUCUUUCAAAUAGAAACAUUUUUUGUUCAUAUAAAAUAACUUGAAAAAAGUGUCAGGUCUUUGGUGUAAAAUUAAUAUUUUUCAUAUUUUUGAACGGUUACCUCAGAUUUGCCAGCGAUCUCCUGUAAUUGGCGUCAGAUACAUUUUAUAUUAAUAAACAUUAACUUCAGAUACCAGUCAGCAAUCGCAGGCAGUUUCUUUCAAAUAGAAACAUUUUUUGUUCAUAUAAAAUAACUUGAAAAAAGUGUCAGGUCUUUGGUGUAAAAUAAAUAUUUUUCAUAUUUUUGAACGGUUACCUCAGAUUUGCCAGCGAUCUCCUGUAAUUGGCGUCAGAUACAUUUUAUAUUAAUAAACAUUAACUUCAGAUACCAGUCAGCAAUCGCAGGCAGUUUCUUUCAAAUAGAAACAUUUUUUGUUCAUAUAAAAUAACUUGAAAAAAGUGUCAGGUCUUUGGUGUAAAAUUAAUAUUUUUCAUAUUUUUGAACGGUUACCUCAGAUUUGCCAGCGAUCUCCUGUAAUUGGCGUCAGAUACAUUUUAUAUUAAUAAACAUUAACUUCAGAUACCAGUCAGCAAUCGCAGGCAGUUUCUUUCAAAUAGAAACAUUUUUUGUUCAUAUAAAAUAACUUGAAAAAAGUGUCAGGUCUUUGGUGUAAAAUUAAUAUUUUUCAUAUUUUUGAACGGUUACC